rnacentral:rRNA from 1 species
GACGAACGCUGGCGGCGUGCUUAACACAUGCAAGUCGAACGGAAAGGCCUGCUUUCCCUUGUGGAUUGCGGGUACUCGAGUGGCGAACGGGUGAGUAACACGUGAGUGAUCUGCCCCCAACUUGGGUAUAAGCCUGGGAAACUGGGUCUAAUUCCCGAUAGGACUGCAGGGUGGUGCCCGUGGUGGAAAACGAUCUGCUAGUGGUUGGGGAUGAGCUCGCGGCCUAUCAGCUUGUUGGUGGGGUAAGGGCCUACCAAGGCGGCGACGGGUAGCCGGCCUGAGAGCGUCGACGCGCAGACUGGGACAGGGACCCGGCCCCGACGGGUACGGGAAGUGGGGGUGGGGAGUCUUGCGCCGAGGGCGGGAGCCAGACGCAGCGACGCCGGGUGGAGGAUCACGGGCUUGGGGUUGUAAACUCCUUUCGACGGCGAGGAAGCCACCUAGUUGGAAGGGUCGUGACGGUAGUGGUAGAAGAAGCACCGGCUAACUACGUG